rnacentral:rRNA from 1 species
AGCGAACGCUGGCGGCGUGCCUAAUACAUGCAAGUCGAACGCAGUGGAGCACGGUGGCGUAAUAUAUAGCUACUCUGCCCCUUGCUGGCGGACAACAGUUAGUAAUGACUGCUAAUACUCCAUAGAGAGGGAUGGGGCUAUAUCGUAUCAGCUAGUCGGUGGGGUAACGGCCUACCGAGGCUAUGACGCGUAACCGGUCUAAGAGGAUGAUCAGUCAAAUUGGAACGGAGACACGAGCAAAACACCUACGGGAAGGAGCAAAAGGGAAUAUUGCGAAAUGGGGGAGAGGCAGAAGGAGCAUCGCCGCGUGAAGGACGACACUUUUAGGAGCGUAAACACCUUUUGUUAGGGAAGCGGUACCUAACGAAUAAGCACCGGCUAACUCCGUGCCAGCAGCCGCGGUAAUAC